CAGCCUGCUAUUGGCUAUUGCAAUUUGAAAUAAAUAGCAGGCUGACUAUUUUAACCCCGCCCACAAAGCAGAGGAGUGGAUCGGAUAACAUUCUUUCCAAG